rnacentral:rRNA from 1 species
GAGUUUGAUCGUGGCUCAGAUUGAACGCUGGCGGCAUGCCUUACACAUGCAAGUCGAACGGCAGCAUGAUCUAGCUUGCUAGAUUGAUGGCGAGUGGCGAACGGGUGAGUAAUACAUCGGAACGUGCCCUGUAGUGGGGGAUAACUAGCCGAAAGAUUAGCUAAUACCGCAUACGACCUGAGGGUGAAAGUGGGGGACCGCAAGGCCUCAUGCUAUAGGAGCGGCCGAUGUCUGAUUAGCUAGUUGGUGGGGUAAAGGCCCACCAAGGCGACGAUCAGUAGCUGGUCUGAGAGGACGAUCAGCCACACUGGGACUGAGACACGGCCCAGACUCCUACGGGAGGCAGCAGUGGGAAUUUUGGACAAUGGGCGAAGCCUGAUCCAGCAAUGCCGCGUGUGUGAAGAAGGCCUCGGUUCGUAA